UACGGAGGGUGCAAGCGUUAAUCGGAAUUACUGGGCGUAAAGCGUGCGCAGGCGGUUUGUUAAGUCUGCUGUGAAAUCCCCGAGCUCAACUUGGGAAUUGCAGUGAUACUGGCAGGCUGGAGUAUGGUAGAGGAAGGUGGAAUUCCCGGUGUAGCAGUGAAAUGCGUAGAGAUCGGGAGGAACACCAGUGGCGAAGGCGGCCUUCUGGACCAAUACUGACGCUCAUGCACGAAAGCGUGGGGAGCAAACAGG
rnacentral:rRNA from 1 species